UGGCGCACAGCUCCAAAUGUCAUCUGCGGGGCGGGGGGAGAACCGCAGCAGCAGCGCCCGCCAAGCAGGGCAGGCCGGGCUGCCUGCGCCCACCGCGGCUCCGCCGCUCCUCCGAAGGCGACCCCUGAGCUCCGCUCGGGCCAGAACGGAACGGCGGGCUUUUAAGAGCCCAAACGUACACGUCUGCGCAUUCAUUACACGGCGUUAAAUCUAAUUUGUUCUUUUUACUGUCACAGGAAGCACAUGUUUAAAGCAAUCUGUUUCCUCGUAUCAAUGCUUUCCUGUCUGUUUGAAAAAAAUCGCAACACGCUUUACCCCAAGUAACCAAGAGGUGAUCAUAAAUAUCCCUAAAUAGCAUUAAACAGAUAUGAAAGACAUUAACACUUCCAGAAUGCCAAAGUAGUAUUAAAAAAAAUCCUAACAGAUGCUCCUAGGUCAAAAAGUGAAAUGUGUGUUUCCUGAAAAAACGCUCUCAUCAGAAUCAUAAAUGAACUGUGAGCGGAGCAAUGAGGUGCUGCGGAGCAGACGAGAGGAUCUCUUGCCGAGGACUGCGGUGCGCUGCUGCCCGGGCGCGGCUGCAAUCAAAGAGCCGCAGCGCUGACCAGCCCUGACCGGGGCCGGGCUGCUCCGCAUCACCGCGCCGCAACGCCAGGUGGGCCCACAGCCCACCAGGCCCACAGCCCACCAGGCCCAUGAGGCCCACAGCCCACCAGGCCCACAGCCCGCCAGGCCCACCAGGCCCACAGCCCGCCAGGCCCAUGAGGCCCAUCAAGC
ensembl:lncRNA